GGUUCGUCUCCGCCAUUUUGGCACGUGUGCAAGAAAACAAUGAAAAAAAUUGAGUUUAACAGGAGGUAGAAUAUGGAGACGUUGUGUGUGCGUUUGUUGACAAACUCAGAAGAUCUCCGUUUGAAGAUGGGAUUUUAACAGAAAACCAAGUGGUUCAUAGCCUUUACAAUCAGCUUGGAGAAGUGACCAGGUAAGCAAAGUGAUUAAUAACUACUUAUUAACCAAGAGUGAGGUCUUUAAGGGAAAAUCUCAAACCAAGACCUUGCCAUAUUGACCAAGCAAUAAGGUUCAUACGGCAAGGGUGAGGUUUGAAAUUCCUCGCGUAAAGACCAAACGUUCGAGCUUAAUAAGUUGAU